UAUGCAGGCGGUUUGCCAAGUCUGGUGUGUAAGACCUCAGCUUAACUGGGGGAGCGCGCUGGAAACUGGCAGGCUAGAAUACAGGAAGGGGAGUUGGAAUUCCAGGUGUAGGGGUGAAAUCUGUAGAUAUCUGGAAGAACAUCAGUGGCGAAGGCGAACUCCUGGCCAUGUAUUGACGCUGAGAUACGAAAGCGUGGGGAGCAAACAGGAUUAGAUACCCUGGUAGUCCACGCUGUAAACGAUGUGCACUAGGUGUUGGGGUUUUUGAUCUCAGUGCCGUAGCUAACGCGUUAAGUGCACCGCCUGGGGAGUAUGCUCGCAAGAGUGAA
rnacentral:rRNA from 1 species